GCCAACUCACCACUCCAUGCACAAGGAAAGACAGGGCCUCAUUUUGGAGACUGUGGGGGGUCCCAUAGGUCUGACCCAUGUGAUGAGACACAUAUCCCCUAUCCUGAGGAUAGUGCCUACAUUUUAAAGUAGUAGAGUACUCCUUUAAACUCCAGACCCCUUUUUUGUGGGACAAGCAUGAAGAGACGCAUUCCGGACUAAAAUGGCACAGUUGUCAAAGCAAACACAUAACGCCCAAUGACUUAUACUAUUGGGUUUCUAUCGAGGUAUAAAUAAAAGCCAGGAUGCUUGGUCAAAAAAUUGUAUCUGUUUAAUACACAAUAGAAAUGGAUAUAUGACCUACAGGGUGCUUACUUACAGGGAGAUCUGUCUGCAGGGGAGUGCAGGGGGGGCAUGGGCUCAUUGGUAUGAAAUAGCUGUAGCCCAGUAAAGUCCCUGCAUGUGUAUUUUAUUCUGCCAUGCUAUGAAGUUUGGUAAACCUUAAGAAGAUCCUCCAGAGUGGCGGCCAUUGUGAUCUGAGAUCCAAACCAGGAAGCUGCACUGAGCCGGCAACAGCACAGCAAGUGCCUGAGAUUUUAAACCCAAACGACUUGCGCUCACCCAGGAACAGCAGGUCUUUAUCAUGACUCCAUGACAACCAACAAGUCAAACAAAAGCUAAUCCUUAUGUGUUAAGUGUUAUAUCUGCUCCUCCAGGUGCGCUGGCCAAGGUGCUGAAAGGUGGCGACUUCUGAGAGACUAGAACAAAGUCAUUGCAACAAUUGUCUAACAAUAGCUCCUUUUCAAAGUUGGAAAACCAUGUAGAUCCAUUAGCCGAGAAUUUCCGGGAUCACAGCUGCAGUCUGCAUCUUUCCAUUGCUUCUAUUGAUGGACUUCCUCAGGAAUUAUGCAUAUUUGUUAGAAUUUUUCUGAUAAACAUGCAAACAUGCUAUGACAUGCUUUGUGAAGUCAAAUACACAAAAAAAUGAGGGAUCUAGUUACAUGCUGCCUCUACAAGUCUAUGGAGAGAGGAAGAACAAGGGAGGUAGAUUAGAGGGGGAAUGAUUGGAGAAAGCCAGAAACAAAUGAAGACUGCAAAGGUAGUACCCAUGUUUAUACAAUUCUCUUCCCUGAUCUCCAUAUGUUUUACUUAAAUUUUAUGUUUUGAUGGUGUCCUGUGAUCCAUCACUAUAAUCUUCCACCCAGCCUAGAAACUAAAUUUUUCAUUUCACCAUUCCAAAUACAUUCUCCUGUCCAAAACAUUUCAGAUUUAUCGGCCUUUUUUGGAUGUUCCCUUAAAAUUAUGAGGUUGACGUUUCUGUGGUUACAAAAAUAAAAAAUUCUGUGCUGCAUAUAUAGAAGUGACAGCAGGGCCUUCAGGAUUUCCUGAGUCUAGUGAAAGCUGUAACCACCUUUGCCCUUUUCACCAUAUCACUUAGGACAGUAAUUGGACAGAAAGUUAAUGAUACAGAGGAAACUAAAAAGUCUGAUAAUACAAAAGAAAGAAUAGGCAGAAUAUUGCGACAGGUUAGCUACAUAAAGACUAAGAAAGAUUUCUGAUGGUUAACA